AUCUUCGGCCAUACCACCCUGAAGGCACCUGGGGAAGCUAAGCAGGGUCGGGCGUGGCUAGGUGCCUGGAUGGGAGAAAUCAUCACAAGAAAAAACCCCGCCUCUUUGUGGGUG
rnacentral:rRNA from 1 species